rnacentral:misc_RNA from 1 species
CUCUAUUCAGGGAAUUGAAAUGCUUUCUCUUGGUUCUUUUAAGACUGGUGCUAUCCUCCUGGCUGGACUUUUUGUAUAUGAUAUUUUCUGGGUUUUCUUCACUCCUGUUAUGGUUAGUGUUGCAAAAUCAUUUGAUGCUCCUAUAAAGCUAUUGUUUCCAACAACAGAUGCUGCACGGCCAUUUUCCAUGCUUGGGCUUGGUGAUAUUGUAAUCCCUGGUAUUUUUGUAGCUCUGGCAUUGCGAUUUGAUGUGUCUAGAGGAAAAAACAGCCAGUAUUUUAAGAGUGCUUUUCUGGGGUAUACAGUUGGUGUGGUCCUUACAAUUGUUGUCAUGAACUGG